GGGGCUGUAGCUCAGUUGGGAGAGCGCUUGAAUGGCAUUCAAGAGGCCGUGAGUUCAAUUCUCUCCAGCUCCA
rfam:Desulfovibrionaceae bacterium CG1_02_65_16 cg1_0.2_scaffold_81_c, whole genome shotgun sequence.